CAUAUGGAGGUUCCCAGGCUAGGGGUCGAAUCGGAGCUACAGCUUCCAGCCUGCACCACAGCUCAUGGCAAUGCCAGAUCCUUAACCCACUGAGCGAGGCCUGGGCUCAAACCUGCAACCUCUUGGUUCCUAGUUGGAUUGUUUCUGCUGCGCCACAAUGGGAACUCCUAGUCGAUCUGUUUUAAUUGGACCCAAACAAGAUCUAAAUAUUACAUUUGAUAAUUAUGUCUCAUAAAGCUCUUAUGUUUCAGAAUGGUAACUCCUUAUUGCUAAAGUAUAAUUUUCAAAAGUUAAAAAUCAUGAUCCAUGCAAACACAAAAUAAACAGUUCUGGGCCCUACUGGUUCGUUUUUGCUGCAUGUCUUGAAGGCAGUCAUCUCAGCAAGGACCACUAGUCAUGUUGUUUGGAAGGGUGUUUUGAGACCCACCAGGAGCGCUUGGGAGUUCUCCUCUUCUGACGUAGCGAUGGAUCAUCAGUGAGCUGCCCGGUCACCUCGCGACCAGGGUCAGCGGCCUGGUCACCUUGCCACCAGGGUCUGUGUUUCGGUAGUGUCUGGGCAUGAAGCUGGACACCUUCAGGCCCGAGAGCCUUCUCAUGUCCUUGUAUUCUAACCGUUGAGCUAGUUAAUAGUUAACAGACGUAGGACAGGUGUGUAUCAUUGGUACCCGUCUCUAGAACAGUCAAACGCAAGGAAGUUUCUAGACCCCUGAUUAUAAAAUUUGAUUAGUAAGUAAAGACAACGACUUGUUUUUCUUUUCCUUAGCAUUUUGGUAAGUUAACUUCACAAAAGCAGAACCUAAGUUUUUUCCCUCUUAUUUUUCAGGUGAAGAGAUUAUAAAUCUUCUAUUGAGUGAAAAUAUUUUUCUUAAGGUUGCAUAUACGCCAAGAAAAAAUCCCAAAUGUUUUUAUAUUUUGCCUAAAUACAAAGUUUAAACAAGAAGUUUCCACGGAAGAGAUGGAUGACAGCAAAAAAUUUCAGUUUGAAGAUGUGCAUAGAGUUUCCUGACUUGUGGGUUUUGUUUUCUUUCCUUUUUUGGUUAUACUGGCAGCCUAUGAAAGUUCCCAGGCCAGGGAUGGAAUACGAGCCGCAUCUGCAACCUGGGCCACAGCUGCUCCACGGUGGGAAUGCCACUCCUGGGGUUUUUUUGACCCUCCUGUGUCUGGUUUUGAGAUGCCGUGUUGCGAAAAAGUGCCUUGGUCCCUCCAAGCCCAAGUGUAAUCCAGAUAAAAACGGGUGCAUUGGGCGUGUGUAGAGAGGCCCAUGCCCUGCCUUACCUGUGGGAAGGCCUCCACCUGCCAGGUGGGAUGGGGGGACUUGUGCUCCUGCAGCGGUAGGUGCUCCUGAAAGGCCUCCCAUUGCCGUCCACUGAGAGGCUGGGUAAAUGACAGAUGCGCGACCUCUUGUGAGUGCCCUGGCGCAAGCUAACUGCUCAGAGGCCGAGAGGACAAGAAGAGAUAGCACCCUUUCGCUCCUUGCUGAAGAAAGCGUAAAUCCUUUUCAGAGCAAAGCAGACUCAGUGUAGGCCCUCAGGACUCCACUGAUUAAAUGUCAGCAAACUUGAGCACACGCACACACACCUUGUGAUCGGAGUGGGCAUGAUUAGGUGCCCCAGCGAGUGCAGGCGUCCAGUACUCAGACACAGUAUAUGUGAUAAUGCGUGAAGUGUGUAAAGAAAUACAAAAUGGAAUAAAAAUUAGUAAUGAAAACCGAAGUGUCACAGUGAUCCACUUAGAACUUUCAGAAAUGAAAAAAAAAGUUGAAAUAAAAAACUCAGUACUUGUGGAUUAGACAGAUUAAACAUGACUGAAGGCAGAAGUAGUGAACUGGAAUAUAUCCCUAAAGAGGCUCUCCCGGGUGCAGCCGGGAGACGGGAGAUGGGAAGUGGCACUCAGAGAAGUGGAGGGUGAGGUGCGUGUCCUGAAAAACACAGUUGGAGCCCAGGAUGGAAAAGUGGGAAGAGGAGGAGAGCCGUUACGCAAAGUGUUAGUAGCUUUGACUCAGCGAGAGAGAGAGAGCGUAGCUUUAGAAAGCACUCUGUGUCCUAAGCAGUGUAAACAGGAGGAAACCCCGAGCUCCCCCUGUGUCGCAACGGGAGCGGUGAUGUCGGCAGCGCUGGGAUGCAGCUUCAAUCCCCAGCCUGGCACAGUGGGUUAAAGAUCCCCGGCAUUGCCACAGCUGUGGUGUAGGUCGAACUGUAGCUCGGAUCUGACGCCUGGCUGAGGAACUCCAAAUUCCUUGGGGAGGCCAAAAAGGAAAAAAAAAAAAAAAGGUAACUCACACUCCUACAUUGAAAUUGUACGGCAGCAAAGACAAAAAAGCCUUAAGUGAGGUUGAGCUAGGUCUCCUUAGCUUGAGUAGAGGCCGAUAGAGAGCAGAGCAGUUCCUCCGUGUGGUGAGAGAAUGUACAUUUCAGUACAUGUUGUGCGUCAGGUAUAUUUGCAGAAGAACAGCACAGUUUUUCUGUGCUUUUGGUAAAUGUUGGGCUGGGUAUUUGCACAACCUACUACCCCACAUUUCCUUACCCGGUAAAAAAAAACAACUAAAAUUGUUGCAUUCAAGAAAAAAAACCAGGAGUUCCCUGGUAGCCUAGCGGUUAAGGAUUCGGCAUUAUCGCUGUUGGGGCCUGGGUUUGAUCCCUGGUCUGGGAACUUCCACGUGCCUCACGUGUGGCCAAAAGAAAAACCAAAGGACCGACAAUAGAGCAGGCAAGUUUUAGACCAAAAUGUAACAGAAUUAUAACCCAGAAGGUGAUUUAAUCAGGAUAGGAUGGACUCUGCCUUGGCCUCAGGACAUUUGUUGGUCUGGACAGAGUGUGGCUUUGAUUUCAGAGGCCUUGUUGUUCUCUGCAGGGGAGAUGUCCAGUUCUCACAGUGUGCAGAGAGCUUAAAGGGGGCUCUUCUCGGUUAAGUGGGGCCUGGCGGUCGGCGUCCUCGGAGGCAGGGUGAACUGGAAGUGUACCUCCUCACGUCAUCCCGGCCCCCACCUGGUUAUCUUUUACUAAACGUAGCCGGGGGAAAAAAGCUUGUGGCAGUGGAUGGACCUUUAAAGGGCGUGUAGCCCAGGUCUACAUUGCCUGGUAGUUCUAGGACGUGAAACAUGAAUUGAAGGUUUUCUGGUUUGGUAAUGCCUUCAAACAUCCAUGGGACCAAACUUAAAACCUCUUUGGAGGAAGUUACCAUCAUCCUAAAAUGCAAAAAAUUGGAGUUCCCACUGUGACGCAGUGGUUAACAAACGCGACUAGAAUUGAUGAGGACAGGGGUUCGAUCCCUGGCCUCGCUCAGUGGGUUAAGGAUCCAGUGUUGCCGUGAGCUGUGGUGUAGGUCACAGACGUGGCUCGGAUCCGGCGUUGCUGUGGCUGUGGUUUAGGCCGGCAGCUGUAGCUCUGAUUAGACCCCUAGCCUGGGAACCUCUGUAUGCUGUAGGUGUGGCCUUAAAAAGCAAAAAAAG
rnacentral:lncRNA from 1 species